rnacentral:misc_RNA from 1 species
GAUCAUUAGUGAAUUUGUAGGGCCUGCCAUACGGAUGCGCAAGCGUCUCUGGCGCCCAACCCACUAUACAUCCACAAACCCGUGUGCACUUGUGUUGCUUUGGCCUGUAUGGGCGAGCGCACGCAUUCAAACAAACUCGUAUGGUUGUAUGUACGUUGUAAACGUUGGACCGUCACUGGCCAACAAACUUUAUACAACUUUCGACAACGGAUCUCUUGGUUCUCCCAUCGAUGAAGAACGCAGCGAAACGCGAUAGGUAAUGUGAAUUGCAGAAUUCCGUGAAUCAUCGAAUCUUUGAACGCACCUUGCGCUCCAUGGUAUUCCGUGGAGCAUGCCUGUUUGAGUGCCGCGAAUUCUCCCACCCCAAACGGUUGCCGAAAGGUACUGUGCGGCGGAGGGGUUGGAUGGGUGCUACUGCCUGUGGUGGGGAAACUACAACAGGCUCGCCCGAAAUGCAUUAGCGCCUCAGGACACAUUCGCUACUGCUCUACAAAAGGAAGAGCAGCGAAGCGUAUGGGGGGGAAAACCACCACCGGUUAUUCCAAACCUCGCCUGACUGUUUUUGCGCGCAUGGCAUGAUACGUCAUUUGCUGUGUUGCGUAGGUUGGUGCGUGGGACUGUGUGAGUGCCUCUAGAGCUUUGAGAAGUGUGUUUCGUGUGCUACGAACUGAAAAAGUACAUUCCUUUUUUUCAAUUCUGGUCUC